GAUCCAAUCCAAAUUGACCCAAUCCCAUUAGGUCAAAGCCAACUGGUCUAGGUUAGUUCAAAUACUUUGAACCAAAUCAAUUUGGAAACUUGGGUCAAUACAAUGUGCUAGCAUAUGAAAUUAACCCAUAGAAUUUAUAUUAAACUUUAAUUAAAUCAGACUAAGAUCAAAUUUCAAAGUGUGUGAUCCAUUGAGUUCCAAAUCUAGCCAGC
rnacentral:lncRNA from 1 species